rnacentral:rRNA from 1 species
GAUGAACGCUGGCGGCGUGCCUAAUACAUGCAAGUCGAGCGAACAGAUAAGGAGCUUGCUCCUUUGACGUUAGCGGCGGACGGGUGAGUAACACGUGGGUAACCUACCUAUAAGACUGGAAUAACUCCGGGAAACCGGGGCUAAUGCCGGAUAACAUUUAGAACCGCAUGGUUCUAAAGUGAAAGAUGGUUUUGCUAUCACUUAUAGAUGGACCCGCGCCGUAUUAGCUAGUUGGUAAGGUAACGGCUUACCAAGGCAACGAUACGUAGCCGACCUGAGAGGUUGAUCGGCCACACUGGAACUGAAACCCGGCCCAGACCCCUAGGGGGGGCAGCAGUAGGGAAUCUUCCGAAAGGGGCAAAAGCCUGACGGAGCACCGCCGGGUGGGUGAUGAAGGUUUUCGGUUCGUAAAACUCUUUUAUUGGGAAAAAAAAAAUGUGUAAGUAACUGGGCACGUUUUGACGGUACCAAAUCAAAAAGCCCCGGCUAACUACGU